AUGUCAUUUUCCCAACCCAGGUUGUAUUUGCUUACACUCCAAGUUCAAAGUUAAAACUUGAAACACAGCGAUCAGACCAUUACCAAUUCGACGAUUACCCUCUGUCCGUCAAUCUCGCACCAAAAAGCUAGGGUUUGAGUCUCUUAAUUUCUCUGUGAAAAGUACCCUUUCAUCACCGGGCACCAUGAACUGCGAAGUUUGCCAACUCAAAGAAUUGGAAGUGGAGCACUACGAGAUACGGGAAGUUCUACGCUCGUUGAAGGAUGUGAUGUCUAACCAGAAUAAAAUAUUCAUUUGGUGCAUGCUACACACGAUAGUGUUUCAUCGGGCUUUAGGUCUAGUGCGUCCCAAAGAUAUUGAUUUGGAACUCUUUGAUAUUACAUAUGUGCAAUGUGGAGAUGUGGACCUUGAAAAGAAACUAGAAGAGAAGAUUGAGCAGUUCAUCGGUUGGGUAGAGAAACACCCAAACAAAAAAAGUCAGAUAUGCUUAUCUUUCUAUGAGGUGAAAAACAAACCGCCUUCUUGGUUCAAUAAAAUUGAACGCCUAUAUUGGGAACAAUGGUAUGUCAAUUUGAAUGUGGCCCAACACCCCAAAGCACAUUCUAGCAAGUCUCAUCAUUCCAAAGUUGUACUUGCUCCAGGAGAGAGUGCAGUGGAGGAGACGAAUGCUCGCAGAGCAGCACUUGAAGAAUCUCUCCGCGAGGUAUUGUUUCAAAUCAUAAAAUUUGUGAAUGAGAAGAAGGAUCAUGUUCCUCCCAUACCAAAUCUUGAAGGUGUUGCCUGUUUUCCCUAUGAAAUCACUAUCCCAAGAUAGUUUUAUUCCGACAAUGAGGAGGGUAGGGCUAAGAUAUUAUUUUGAAGGCGUGAAUUGGUGAUCAUGGGUGAGGACAUCAAGGAAGCAGAGUGACUGUGGGAACCUUUAAUGUUUCAAACUAAAGAACUUAAUGUAUCAUAGUUCGUCAGAUUCUACAUUUGGAAUGGACAUGAUCAAGAGGAUGCUCCAAACUGGGCAUCCAACCAUGCUCAGCUGAUUAUCAAAGUUAACGAGCUAUAGCACGUAUUCCCUUCAUGUGCCAGUAGGAUGGAUUCUGACGUUCAUGAUGUCUCAAAACAUGUACAUGUGAAGUGGUUGCAAGAAGCUUCUCUAUCCAGAAAAGUUUCGCGGCUCUGAACAAGAAGCGAAUCUUUGGUGCUCUUAAUGGUUUGUAAUUAUUUUCCCAGAAUUAACCCACUUUUCCCAUUUGCUUUCCCAUUUCUUAUAGUUUAUUUUUAUGUACUGAAAUGAUACCAGUUUGAUCAAACCAGGACCAUAGAGGUUGUCACAUAUUAUGGGCAAAUUAAGGGUUUGCUGUAUAAUUCGAGACAUUUUUCUUUUCUGUAAAUUUUCAUCUGCAUGGUUUUUCU